GGGCAGCGGGGUAGUGCUUGCACUACUGCCGGCGACCGGCGCACGGGUGAGUAACACGUAUGGAACCUGCCCGCAGCAGGGGGAUAAGCGGAAGAAAUUCCGUCUAAUACCGCGUAACAACGUUGGGAGGCAUCUCCCGAUGUUUAAAGAUUUAUCGGCUGCGGAUGGCCAUGCGGCGCAUUAGCUAGUCGGCGGGGUAACGGCCCACCGAGGCGACGAUGCGUAGGGGUUCUGAGAGGAAGGUCCCCCACACUGGUACUGAGACACGGACCAGACUCCUACGGGAGGCAGCAGUGAGGAAUAUUGGUCAAUGGCCGAGAGGCUGAACCAGCCAAGUCGCGUGAGGGAAGACGGCCCUACGGGUUGUAAACCUCUUUUGUCGGGGAGCAAAGCGAACCACGUGUGGUUCAUUGAGAGUACCCGAAGAAAAAGCAUCGGCUAACUCCGUGCCAGCAGCCGCGGUAAUACGGAGGAUGCGAGCGUUAUCCGGAUUUAUUGGGUUUAAAGGGUGCGCAGGCGGAGGUGCAAGUCAGCGGUCAAAUUGCGGGGCUCAACCCCGUACUGCCGUUGAAACUGCAUCCCUUGAAUGCGCGAGAAAUAUGCGGAAUGCGUGGUGUAACGGUGAAAUGCCUAGAUAUCACCCAGAACUCCGAUUGCGAAGGCAGCAUACCGGCGCGCAACUGACGCUCAUGCACGAAAGCGUGGGUAUCGAACAGGAUUAGAUACCCUGGUAGUCCACGCAGUAAACGAUGAACACUAACUGUUCGGCCAGAAUGAUGGCUGAGUGGUACAGCGAAAGCGUUAAGUGUUCCACCUGGGGAGUACGCCGGCAACGGUGAAACUCAAAGGAAUUGACGGGGGCCCGCACAAGCGGAGGAACAUGUGGUUUAAUUCGAUGAUACGCGAGGAACCUUACCCGGGCUCAAACGACACAGGAAUACUUUUGAAAGGAGGUAGCCCUACGGGGUCUGUGUCGAGGUGCUGCAUGGUUGUCGUCAGCUCGUGCCGUGAGGUGUCGGCUUAAGUGCCAUAACGAGCGCGACCCCUAUCGCCAGUUACCAUCAAGUAAAGUUGGGGACUCUGGCGAGACUGCCGGCGCAAGCUGAGAGGAAGGCGGGGAUGACGUCAAAUCAGCACGGCCCUUACGUCCGGGGCGACACACGUGUUACAAUGGCAGGUACAGAGAGAAGCCAGGUGGCGACACCGCGCGGAACUCGAAAGCCUGUCUCAGUUCGGAUCGGAGUCUGCAACCCGACUCCGUGAAGCUGGAUUCGCUAGUAAUC
rnacentral:rRNA from 1 species